rnacentral:rRNA from 1 species
UACGUAGGGUGCAAGCGUUAAUCGGAAUUACUGGGCGUAAAGCGUGCGCAGGCGGUGAUGUAAGACAGUUGUGAAAUCCCCGGGCUCAACCUGGGAAUUGCAUCUGUGACUGCAUCGCUAGAGUACGGUAGAGGGGGAUGGAAUUCCGGCGUGUAGCAGUGAAAUGCGUAGAUAUGCGGAGGAACACCGAUGGCGAAGGCAAUCCCCGUGGACCUGCGACUGACGCUCAUGCACGAAAGCGUGG